rnacentral:lncRNA from 1 species
UGGUGGUGGGCUAUACCGACCCAUGCACACCCACACCCACACCCAGACACACACACACACACACACACACACAUACACACACACAAUAAAUUCAAGAGUUGCUAUAUUACCGACAGUUUUCAAGAAGCACCAGCAGCAAGAGACGCAGUGGCAAGCCUUCACCACAACACUCCACACUGCCUAAUCUUCGUCUAUUAAAGGCUCAGAUGUGUAGAUGGAAGGUGUGGGAGAAAGGAGAAUGAGUAACCUUGGAGGAGGAUGAAGAAGAAAUGAGAAAUAAAGGUGGAAUAGAAGCUGCUGCCAAGGUUUAAUAUUUAGUGUGAGGUGGACGUGGCGGAGGGUGGUGAAUUCACUGCGCACGUUACCGACACCUUGUACCACGCUGACUGGCCGCAGCUAUUCACUAAGGUCGGGCAGGCCUGUAUCUCCGUAUUCUGCUCUAGAAAUGAUGAGUUUGUGCAGCUGUGUGGCAUUGACGAGUGCCAGAAUAAGAAUGUCGGGUGUGUGUGAGCCCCUUUGCAUCAACACUUGAGAGUCAUACCGCUACUACUGCCAGUGCCGGCCAGGAAGUUCAACUAUGAAGGGGUUAAUGGUCUGCUGCUGCACCGCCUUGCCAGAACGGUAGCUGAAAUGCAGUAGGCCUAUUCACACAGCCUAGUAAGUGAAGGACGGGUCAGUCGGUGUUCCCUGCAGCGGCUACCACUUUGCGUCUGCGUAUACUUAAAAUUAUUACAUACACUGCCCUACCCGAUAUCUUGUUACAUAGUAAGUGGGUUCAGGUACAGCUUAGUACAGUAUUCUGAAACGCUUUGUUCUCUUACCAUCACUGCUUUCAAAGGCUCCUGUUGAAAAUACUCAUGUUUUUAAGAGUAUUUUUAUAGUUCAAGUGAUAGAUUGGCAAGAUUUCUAGUUUAUUAUAAGGAGAAAGUCUUGAAAACCCGGCUUUUUAUCCUCGUGGCCAUAGAAGAAUUGUCAUAGCGAGAGAAUAAAGCGUUUUUAACCUCUUCAGUACCAUGACACGUUUUCAUAUUCAUUCUGUUUACUAUAUGGUGAUUUUAUACA